rnacentral:lncRNA from 1 species
UAAUAUACCUAGUAAACCAUUGAUUUUAAAACGAUUUGCACGCCCAAUUCGAAAAUGUUCUAGCUGAAAAAUGGGGACUCAGGAUCGAAUCCCUGAAGAGGAAGAUAAUAACAGUAGCUUCACAGUUAGUCCAAAUGGACCACAUGGCAUGGGUAAAAGUCAAGCCCAUCCUCUUUUGGGAUUUUCAGAAAAGAACAAAGAGACAUGAACAUGCAUUAUUAGGUCGUGAAUCCACUUUUACAGCUGAUUACAAAUCAACAAUGAAUCAUGGAUCUACUCUUUAAACAUAUUAACCUCUACACUAAUCAAAAAUCCUAACAUGGUUGCAAGCGGACGAUUAUUACAAUUUAAAUAGCAAAUUAACAGUCAAAUAACUAAAUUAAAAAAGCUUUCUGCAAUCAAAACUGAAAUGACAUCCAAACCAACAAACUUAAACAUGAACGAAAAAUACAAAAACCAAAUACUGAUUUAACCAAAUGGGCAGCUUAUGUGGCUAGCAUAGUCUAAAUUUUAAUACUUAUGCAGUUCUUCCCCAAACUCAUUGUUUAUUCAAUAAACUCCAUGAUAAUUAUACAAACUAAAACAAGUAAACUAAGCAUAAACUUAGAAAUUCCAGCACCAAGGUACAUAUAAGAAGCUCUGCAAAAAUUUUCAUCAUCACUACUACAUACAUCAAGCAUGCUUUAACACUUCAGCAGCUAUCAUAGCCAAGAGAAUACCUGGAAAUGAAAAAGGGGAGAAAGAAAUGAGGCAGCAAUAAGCAACAACAAACUAGUCCGUAAGCACCCACGAAUCAGUAAGCCAAGCAAAAAACCAACUGGACUUAGCCAAUGAAAUAGCAACUUUUCUGAAAACAACACUUCAAAACCAGCUUUUCAAGACCCAAAAAUCAAACUAUUUUAGCCCCCAGAUUAAACCAGCAAUUGUUUCAGAAUUAGAAAGCUUCAGAAAUCAGAAAAGAAAAUUGAUGGAACAGUGUUUUACUGAAGUUUUCAGCCGUUUGUAUUAUUUCUGAAUUUUUACUAUUAAAGUCUUUGCCUUGAAUUGCAAGAAAAUGAGUUUUUAUAGGUAAGGAAGUAGGGCAGCCCGUAGGAACUAGAUUUUACAUUCUGCCCCUUUUUAAUUUUGUUUUUUGCUUAGAAAUCCCUAGGCAAAUAUCGGAUUUUCCCCUUAAGUCCCUAAUCCAGCUUCUUAGAAGCUUCCAUUUAAUUUAUACCAAGAUUCCCCUAAGCUAACUUCCAAAACUACCCCUCAAGCCAUGGUUAUUUACCCUUCAGCUCUUGGGUCAAUGUGACCCAGUGACUUGGCUGAAUGAACAUGCCGCCCUUCUUUUUUAAAUGGGUCAGAGACCCAAAGCCUAAACCAAUAAACUGACCCAGCUAAGUUCUAUAUGCAUCUGAAAAACAAUAUGACACAAACAUUGAAACGACUUUCCUAAUCAACAAUCUAACUAAGCUACUGAUUAAUUAACACAAACCUGCAGGGAAUUAACUAAGUUUUCAAAGUGACCUAAUUAAAUUAAAGUAAGAGAUUAAAUUGAAUAACAACCAACAAUUUAGCCAUGCUUAACAAACUACAAAACUAGAGAAAUGGACUUGGAAAAUAAAGCUAACAACGAAUAGAACCACAUAAAUUAUCGUUCAACUAGGAAUUUUGGACACACAUCAUUUGAAUUGACUAGAGAAAAGAAAAAUAAAACAGAAGGAUAGAUGAGAAAGAAUGAAAGUUAAAGUGACACCAAACAUGGACAAUGCCAGAAAGAAAAACCUACCGACCAAAAGCUCGAAUCAGGGACUCGACCCUCUGAUUUCACCUCCAAAUAACGUUAAUCGCUUGUUCUUUGUCAAGAACAAGCGAACAACUUCAUUUUGAGACCAAAUCGACUUUGAACAUUAAGAAAUCGCUGGAGGAAGAUCCUCUCAUGAAUAAAUGCGACUUGGAUUCUAAGGCUCGAACCUAAUUCUGAGAUUCGAGAAGUUCUGGCCUUAGUUGAGAGGAUCGAAGUGGGGAUUUGGAAAGAGGGGAGUGAGGAGGUCAUGGGGUGUUAAUUUGAAGGUGAGAGGAGGUAGUGCCGGCGGCGGAGGUGGCUGGGAUUCUAGGGCGGCACUAGGGUUUAUUGUUGUGUCUCUGAAGAAUAGGGAAAGCGAGGGACACGAGAUGGGGGGUUUUGAGGAGGGGGUGGUCUUGUUUGGACAUUCUUAUAGUAAGGGAGGAUCAGUUCUUGACCAUUCGAUCAAAG